rnacentral:rRNA from 1 species
CAAUAGCGUAUAUUAAAGUUGUUGCGGUUAAAAAGCUCGUAGUUGGAGUUCUGCCAGGUGACGCUCGUCCGCCCAAGUGGUGUGUACAGGGCGUGCAUCUGGCCCUUUCAAGGGGAACGUGUCUGCACUUUACUGUGUGGUGCGAGAUCCUUGACUUUUACUUUGAGGAAAUCAGAGUGUUCCAAGCAGGCUCUCGUCGUGUAUAGCUCAGCAUGGAAUAAUAGCAUUGGACUUCGUUUCUAAGCUGUUGGUUGCAAGAAGCGAGGUAAUGAUGAAGAGGGAUAGUUGGGGGCAUUCGUAUUUAACUGUCAGAGGUGAAGUUCUUGGAUUUGUUAAAGACGGACUACUGCGAAAGCAUCUGCCAUGGAUGUUUUCAUUGA